CACAGAAUUUCAAGGGUACAGGUUAGUGUGGUGCCAGUUGGGGUCAGUGGGAGCUCGAGAGACUGACGGGCUGUGUCCAGGAGACCAGGGCCAGGAGAGUCUGGCAGCUCUGAGGAGCGCUGAGCCCAGAGGUGGUGGGGCUGGCAGCCAGUCCCCUCCCUGGUGUGGCCUGGCCACAGGCAGGGCGGCAGCCCUGUGGGGAGUUCCAGAAAGUGAGCCUAGAGCCUCCUCUAUGCCUGGGGGUUUUGGUGUGAGGCCUACAGGGAC
rnacentral:lncRNA from 1 species